rnacentral:rRNA from 1 species
UACGAAGGGGGCAAGCGUUGCUCGGAAUCACUGGGCGUAAAGCGCACGUAGGCGGCUUCUUAAGUCAGGUGUGAAAUCCUGGGGCUCAACCCCAGAACUGCCCUUGAGACUGCUGAGCUUGAGUCCGGUAGAGGUGAGUGGAACUUCGAGUGUAGAGGUGAAAUGCGUAGAUAUUCGGAAGAACACCAGUGGCGAAGGCGGCUCUCUGGCCCGGUACUGACGCUGAGGUGCGAAAGCGUGGGGAGCAAACAGG